rnacentral:rRNA from 1 species
CUUCCGUAGGGUGAACCUGCGGAAGGAUCAUUAUCAAUUUUACAGUCCUAGAAUAGGGGUAAAAACUCUAUUCUAUGCUGUUCAACCCUUUGUCUUUUGCGUACUGUAUGUUUCCUCGGCGGGUUCGCCCGCCGAUAGGACACUUCAAAACCUUUUGUAAUUGCAAUCAGCGUCAGAAAAACUAUAAUAGUUACAACUUUCAACAACGGAUCUCUUGGUUCUGGCAUCGAUGAAGAACGCAGCGAAAUGCGAAAAGUAGUGUGAAUUGCAGAAUUCAGUGAAUCAUCGAAUCUUUGAACGCACAUUGCGCCCCUUGGUAUUCCAUGGGGCAUGCCUGUUCGAGCGUCAUUUGUACCCUCAAGCUCUGCUUGGUGUUGGGUGUUUGUCCCGCCUUCGCGCGUGGACUCGCCUUAAAGUGAUUGGCAGCCGGAAUAAUUCUGGGGAACGCAGCACAACUGCAGCCUCCAUUUUACGCCGAGCGUCCAGUAAGCCUAUUUUUACGUUUGACCUCGGAUCAGGUAGGGAUACCCGCUGAACUUAAGCAUAUCAAAA